rnacentral:sRNA from 1 species
GAGACAAAAUUGACUUUUGUGAGACAAAAUUGACUUUUGUGAGACAAAAUUCAAUUUUGUCAAUUUUGUCUCAAAAGUCAAUUUUGUCUCACAAAAGUCAAUUUUGUCUCAAAAGUCAA